AUGUGGAGGACGUCGAUUGUAUAACAGCAGCGAAAGCUUCUCGUUUUUGUUUUCUGUAGCUUUUUGGUCAAAUUGGACAGAAGAGAAAGCGGCUCAUCAAAUACGGACAGUCAGCCACACAGCACGGUUGGCACUGAACAGUCUCCACCGGCGGCACCACACGCGCCACAUGGCACAUCAUUUCAGCACCACGAACAGCUCCGCUGGCGGACUGAAGAGUAAUGCAUUAUUGAAAGCCUAUAUCAAACAGCUCUGGGGUGCUGUCUCUCUGCACAAGGGGCUGUGGAUGAAGUCGGACUGUCUGCCUUCACAAUAGCCUCUAAUAUGUUAAUGGCCGUAGGGGAUGCCUGAGGUACCGUCCCCAGCUGCCUCGCCUACCAUAUGUCAAGCCGUUACGACAGAGCCCUCUAUUAAUCAGUUGGGGAUAUUUCAUCGAUGGCCUCGCCGAUAUCAUAACCCUUAAAGCUCCAUCAAUACUGCGCCUCGCAUCGUCACCUGAUCUCAGAUCUCGGCCUUACUGUCCUCUAUUUCCCCUUCCAUUUCAGUGGAAGGCCCAAGCUUGCCGUCUUCCAGCGCCGCAGGGCAUGGAGCUAGCCAGCGGUGAGUUUCCAUCAAUUAGUGCACCCCCGCGGCCUCAUGGCAGAGCCCACCUUUGACUGCGGUGAGAUAUUGAUUAGUUCAGCUGCACUGUCAGGUCUGGAGUGUGCAGGGCCUGGUGAUCCAAGGCCUUCGCCAGAGACAAGAUCAUGUCAAGUUUCUGACACAUGUAGGCUCUCACAUACACACCCGUGUGCACACGCAUGGAGGUUAGCAUGUGUACACAUGCAGGUGCGCGCAGACGUGCGCGUCAACACAUGGACACAUACAAAUGCAAUGAAACAUGCUCUCUCAGAUGACUGCAAGGUGUGAGAGAGGGAAGAUAAGAGGAGAAGUCCACAAGAGUUGCUUGUCAGGAGUGAUGGGUGAGAACUGACAAGUGCUUGUUAGUUUUUUUGUGUGUUUUUUUCCUCCCUCUGCCCAGUAGAGUUGGUGUGAAAACAACAAGCUGCAGAGCCUCCGCACUCGCUCAACUAAGGUACAAUGUGAUAAUACAUAUCCACAAGACAACAUAAACGGCUGCUGAACAUGAAGUUCAAAACAAGCAGCGAAAAAAAAAAGAAGAGAUAUUUUAUUCAGGUUAGAAGUGGUAGAUAGGAAGCAAAAACAUCUCCUGUCAAUGCAUGACAGCUAUUAGAUGGGCACGGACAUUAGUCUGUAAUGUUCAGAAACACAGUGCAUCUGCAUGAAUGAAUAGCACUUUAACUUUUCUAGUGAAUGUGGCAGUAGAGUAAAAACGAAAAGCUGCUUGCCCAACCAAGAACUGAAGUUGUUUAAAGAGACCCCUGACAGCUGAAAGUAUGGAGAAAAAUAAAAAAUAAAUCUGGAUCAGUGCUUCCCCAUGUGCAUUUCAAAUAUUGGCAAGACCUGUAUAUUCAUAGGAUGGUAUUCAUUGGUCUUUUGCAGUGAUGCAACCAACUGCAACUCCAUAGGUAUUCGCUCAUAAAGAAAAAUAUUACCAUCCACUCUUUGAUGAGCACACCUCAGAAAAUAUUUCUUAAAACCAUUUCAAGGCCAAGCAGAGCUACGUUUUUUUUGUUGUGAACCUCAAAGACAAAUUUGACUGACCACAGGAGCCUGAGUCGACAACUAGACGAGUGUGGUUUCUGCUUUAGUGCCACGGGGAAGCCAAAAACAAUCACAACAAUCUCAAAGUGAGCAGGAGAACACAAACAUCGAAGGGUCCAAUAAAAAUGAGUAAAUCCAGCAUUUUUCUAUCAACAUUAUUUUUGGGAAACAGCAUCGAUUUCAUGUUUCAGCCCAUUAUUACCUAAUCGGAAAACAAUCACGCAUGCAAAUUGUUCUUUAAAAGAAAAUGACUCGAGAUAGGUUAAAUAAUAGCCAAGAGAAUAUCACUUAAAUGAUGACAGCAGUGAUAAAUGCCUUAGUUUUCUGAAGCUAUUUGAUUCAGUGUCAGGGAUUAAAAACAAACGACAGGUGUUCAUAAUAUUUAUAUUAGUUCUUAUACAGCGAUUUUCCCAAUAUUGGUGCUUUAAAUACUAUUUUUAGAAACAAAAGUUUAAUGAUUCAUAAGUUUAUUUGUUAAAAUAUUAAUCUUUAAAUGGAAAAUCAAAUUAUGGUAUCUUUGGAGAAACUGGGUUCCUAUAAUUAACUUUUCUUUCUGAUCACAGAGACUCAACAAAAAUGAGUGAACAUUGGGAACCGGAAGUGAAUCCGUGAGAUUGGACUUCAUGGUGACUCGGAGCAAAAAGCCAUUGUCUGCGAUGUUGCUCUGAAAAACAGGAUGGACGUUUGGACUGUUGUGGGAAGCUGUAUCUUGGGAGUCUGCUGUCUUCUUCUGAUGUCAUGGAUGCAGAAAAGAUCAGACAAUAAGCUAAAUAAAGACGCUCUAUUAAACCAGCAAUUACCUCGUAAGGCUGAAAUGAUUCAUUGCAUCUUAUUGAAGGAACAGCUAUUCGUCGUCCAGUAGAUGCGGUUGCAACACGGACUUCAUCAGUCUGAGAGAAAACAACAAUACGAUACCAAAAAAAAUAAAAAUAAAAAUCCUUUGAAGAUUUCCUCGAGCGGAGGGCUUCUUGCACUGGGACUACUUUCAGCUGUGCAUUGACUGGCAACUCCAGAGCCAGUCAUGUCAGCUGUCGAUCAAACUGGAAAAGCACAAAAGUCUGGCUCCCAAACCUCCACCAGUGUGUGCGGAUCGCAGUGCAGGGCUACCAGGGGCCAACAACAUUAAAGUGCCUGCUUCUGCUUUAUUACCAGAAAGGCACAAUAGCUCUGCCUGCCAAAACCCUUGUGAAUUCACAUUCCCUCCUAAAUUAGAUGUACCUGCAGACCGAUGUGAUACAAUUAGGAGCUGAUUAUUUGUAAAUCAAACGAUGACAGCCUGACCGUGUGGCUGUCUGGGAUGUUGUGGUCCUCUGGUAGCCAAUCCCCUGCCUCGGGAGAAUGGUAAUUGAUUCCCAGGCCCCCCCUGUGGGAAUGCUGCUCUGCUCGUCUCGCAAGGCGGAGAUGCACAAGUGUCUCUGGUACUGGAAAUUUCAAUGAAUACAUCCAUAUUGUAAAUUUCUCCACAGAGUUUUCAGGCAGAAAACUUUGGGGUGAAAAAAAAAAAAAAGGUGAAAGGUUUUUAUUGCAGUAGAGUGAGGGUGGAAAACAGAAAAUAAUGCAAUUAAGAGAGAAUAAACUUUAGCAAAAAUGCAUUAGAUGGUUUUUUUUGGUGCUUUUUGGCAAGUGACUUGACAUUUAAAUGUGUGUUGCAUGUGGUUUUGGUAAGUGUAUGUGCCGUUUCAUCUGUAUGUGUUUGUGGCCUGUGCCAAAUCUCUGCCGUUUUCUGAAGCCUCUUUUAAAAAUGUAUGAGACGUUGAACCAUUGUGUUUGUGUACACACACCCUGACUUCAAAGGGUAACUAUGCAUGAUAACCUUUACUUUUUAGUCUUUUAUCUGAAGCACCAGCGCUUGCUGUAAUGUGACAUGUAGAUGCAGGUUUGCCUGUCCUAGUGUUAAGCUAAUAACUGAUUGAUCUAAGGAACUCUAUCUGGACAAUUAACUCCAAAAGGAAAAGCCACAUGUUAAUGUGUUAACUUGUGGCGUCCACUGUCGCCACAUGCUUUCUCAGACUGCUGGACAGUCAAAGACUCCACGCAAUCAGAUAGAGUUCCUCAGAUCAAUCACCUAUUAAGAUUAUAUAGGCUCACUGUGUUAUACCCAGUAUCAAAUAGAAAUUGAAUUUGGUCUGAUAUAUAUCGAUUGGUAUACCAAUUUGAUUGGGUGCAACACAAAUAAAUACGAUCAAAAUGAUGUAAUGCAGUAAUCAGAGCUGAAAUAGUAAUACAGCAUUUUCAUUUCAAUUGAUAAUAAGAAAAUCUGCAUCAGGUAUCUUUUAUGGUCAGGUGCCAUCACAAAAAUGUUGUAGUUUAACAUAAUAAACAAAACUAUGAUUUAUUUAUUAUUUUUUUGGUUAAAGCCAAUUCUGACACAAUAAUUUGUUUCAUGUGAACAGUAGAAUCAAAUGCAAGCAAGUCCAAGCGGUGAAAUGCAAACUGUGACAGAAUAGAGAAUAAAAGACAGAUUACAGAGACUGUGACCUGAGAGUGUAUCAAAACAGGCAUCUUGUGAGAGCACUCCAGCCAUCAGUUCGAGAGCUAAGAGAGUGCUUCAUUGAGGAUUAGGUCCUUUAGAAUCACUCAUCCACAGAUCUCAGCCAGUAUUCCCAGUGAGACUGAUUAUCUGGGCCUGUCGCAGACACAGAGGAUAAUUACAGGGUCUCCCCGAGGUCACUGCUCCCACCAUGCCCCACGAAUGGAAAUGCACUGCUGAGCGAAAUGCCGGCAAUGGCAGGGGAGGGAUACAGGUUAUUCUCUCUCACCUGCAUGCACACAAACAAACCAAAAAUGAUUCCCUUAAAAAAUAAAAUAGAAUAAAAAAUAAGAAAAGGUAUGGCAUCAUCUGCCUGUCGUCUCUGUCUUAAUCUCAAACAUUUCAGUCUUAAUUAUCACCGACUUUUUCCCUCUUUAAGUUUAUUUCCCGCCUGCCCCCCACAGCCCACCCCCUCCUCUUUGUUGUCUUUUGUCCUAUUUCAGCUCUGCCCCUCCCCCUAGUGGCAACUUUAUACAUUACAUAAUGAUAAUUUAAGUGAUAUAGCGCAAGCUAAUUUUCCCAUGCUGUUCCAGAACUAAUUGCCACUACUGCUGGAGUGUGAUAAAGAUGUACAAGGAUAGGAGGGGAAAAAAUAGCUGGAGUUAGAUCCUUGGCAAGGACAAAGUGACACGGAAAGAAAUCCUAGACCUUUUUCUGUCCCAGGGCCCCUGCAGAAACAUGACACCAAAACCCCUUUUACAUCCAAAAUAAAACUGCCUGCAGCAGAAUGCGUCUUCUUAAAGGAUUUGCCAAAACAUCUGCACA